AAAAAAUUUUAAGAGCUUUUUAUCAUAAGUAAACUCUACACCCAACAUGGGGCUCGAACUCAGGAGCCCGAGAUCAAGGCGCAGACUCUGCCAAGCUAACCAGCCAGACACUCCUACUCGGCAGCUUCUCGGGAGACCCAGAUGGAUGUCAAACCUCCAGAAAUUCCAGAACCGCUGCAGGGAACCUCGUCCAUCCAGUGCUUACUGGUGCCUUUCCGGCUUCAACUUCACUUUUUGUUUGAUGGCCAUCCGCUUCCUGUUCUAAAAUUAAUCGGCGCGUCAUUCGAGCACCACCCCUUAGGUAGGAUUUUGGCACGAUUGCCCUAAAAGCUUCCUUGGAGGCUAGAUUUUACUUGGACAUUCUUUCCCUUAUAAGUUCCCUGAUAAAGGUGUUUCUGAAAGCGUAAGCGUAGUUCUGGUUUUGCCACUCGGAAUUUCAUUUCUAAGGUGUGUGGGCAUUUUGCGUUAGUGACGGUAGGACGGUCAUCUGUUGAAAUGACAAGAGAGGGCAUCAUCUGGUAGUUCACCUGUCCUGAUUUUCCAUGAGAGCAUCUCUCAGUGGAGUCGUGCCAUGGGCAUCAGACAGACGUGCUAGUGACCAGGGGGAGUCCCAGAAGAUGGCUUUAAAUCCAAUGGUCUAGAACAGUGUCAGGUUUAGCAGGUCUGAUGGUCGCCAUGUUCCUUAUAUCAGCUUGUUUGAGAAGAAUGACGAAGCCACACGGCUAUUCUUAGCAACAAUCCCAGAAGCCCCCUCCUUUGUCGCCCUCAAAAUCGACUCGAGAUGCUUUGUCUUCCGAUGGAGAUGUCUUCUGGGCACGCCAUCCUUUAGCGUUACACCCAAUUAACUGCAAAAACUGCAGGUCUGGCUUCUUCCCUUUUAGAUACGAUAAGUGGUUUUAGUAGCACGGGGGCCGAUUCCUUCUUGGGACGUACGAGGAUUAUUCACUUGAAGUGCCACAGGAAAAGGGCUUAAAUAUAUAUUACAAGUGAGAGUCUGUUUGAUCUUUCCCGUGUAGGUGUAUCCGGGAAAUUCCAUAUGGCAUCAGCUUGUAUGGAUCUGAGGCCUGAGAGACUAGAUGUUUCUACCCUCUUGAUGGGUGGAGAAGUGAAUUCUACAGUGUCUGUUGUGAGUUCAUUUAGGCUUUUGGAAGGACUUCCUAAUUACCUAAACUAAAUGGUUCCUCCUACCUUGUUCGGGCUCAUUUUUUUCCUUCUGGCUGAGGUGAGAAUGGGUCACAAACACCACGCAGAGUGCAGGACGUCACUUGACGCCUCCUGGGGAUGUCGAGAUAGCGGGAGCCUCACCCUGGAUUUUCCAGCGGUCUCCGAUCAGGCUGAUUCUGACAUACUUCGGGUGUCGUGCAGAUGAUAGGAGGGAGAGCACGGGACGAGAGACGAGAAUGGACGCCGUAGAGUUCACGAGGACCUUCGAGCCUGGGUCGUUGGCUACUCGGGAACUUGGAGGUCCCUGGAUUUGAUCAGAUUGAUGUUGUUUUGGUGACCGGGGAAGGAUGUCGGUAUCAGAGCCGGUCUUUCCUACCUUUGGUGCCAGGUGACUGCAUGGCAUUUAAGGGAGACCUUCACUGAACUUAUUUUUUUGUAGCUGGAGGGGAGUUUUCAGUUAGGGGUUGUAGGUGCCUUAAAGAGUGGGCUUUACUCCAAGGCCUGGGGAUCAUUUUCUUUUCACUCAUUGAUUUUGAGUAGUGUCGACGCAGAGUGUAGGGCGGUUACUGGGCAGGGUCUGCCCUAUAGGAAGCAGGUCCCCACCUCCCCCAGGUUGCUGGCCUGGCCUUGGAUCCGAACCCUCUCGGUGGGGCCGGUGAGGCCAGGUUACCUGCAGACGGGACCUGGGCCGGGCUGCCUGGCAUCCCGUGGGGUCACCCGGAGCGGAGCUGGGGCACCCGAAGAAGCGUGCGGCAGGGGUGUGGGCUGGCUGAUAGACUGGGAGCCUUCCGAGGCAAGAACCGUUUUUGGUGUUUUGCUUUUUUUAAUUAUUCUUUUGUUCACUGUUGUCAUCCCGAGCAGGUGGCCAGCGUGCUCAGUAAAUGUUUAAUGGGAGAAAAGCAACAGCUGACAUUUUGGGGGCUCCUACUACGUAUGGUAGACGGGUUACGUUGUGUCCGAGUCCUUAGGGCCACCGCUCAAGGUAUGAAGAGUUGUUCUCAUCUUCUAGAGGAGGGCGCGGAACGGAAAGCGUGCGCCCUGGGUCACAAAGCCGGCGAGCGGUGGGGAGCAGACGAGGAUCAAGGUCUCGGUGAUGGAGCCCAGCGUCCUUAGUCACCUGACCACCGUGAACGAAGGAAUGAGUUUCUGGGAUGGGGUUCUUCUGCCCUCCGAGGCUGAAAUGCUCCCCACGCCUGCUAUUUUUUAACCUUACCCACGGCCGUUUUUGUGGGUUUCCUUCCGAGCCUGCCAUGAGCCUUUGGACGGAGCCCCUCCUGGACCCUCUGCGGAGGGAGGGCCCAGGAUGCCCUCCCUUCCCUCGUAAAGUCUCCCGCAGAGCUGAUCGCGUGGACCAGUGGCUUUCUACCUGCUGUGUGGUCCUCGUCUCCUGAGGAUGCUUGAGGAAGAUCGACCCCGGCUUUGUCCCAUAACCUGCAUGUGGAUUUCUAGCGUGCAGACUUCUCUCUUACCUGCCCAGUUAGCGACCUCCGUGGCGGCUCCGCUGACUGUAGGGUGGGAGGCCAACUCCCGAUGGAGAUGUUUCCAACCAGCCCGGUGUCUCACAGCUCCCGGCCAACUCCCUGCGAAGUAACGCUCUGACCAGUGCAGUUGCCUUGGGGCCCCAAUAAACAUUUCUGCACGAACAUCCUUUACCCUGGCCUGCACUGCCCAGACCCUCGCCCGGCUCCUCGCUGGCCUUCGCCGGGACAGCGGUCCAGAGUGAGGCACCCUGGCUGCAGCCUGGGUCACUGGCCCAGGUCAGGCCUGCUCUCACCUUCCCCCUGCCUUGCCUCGAGUGCAGCAAAGUUAGACCCUCACUGCCCCUUCGCAGAGUCGGUAUUUCGAUACGUUAAUGGAGUCCGGACGGCACGCCUCUGGACUGGGCACACGGCCCCGAUCCGGCUGUGGCCUUCACCUCCCACUGCCUCCUGCACGGCGGACCUCCCGGCUCUGCACUUGGCUUUUGUUGGCCUCUACGUGAAUGUCCUUCCCAUCCGUCCAAACAGCUGCUAACCCCUUGAGCCCAGACAGCUCCCCGGGUCCGAAGACUGGGGCUCUCAGUGCUGCGGGACGGAGCUGCUCUGACACGUCUGGUCCUUUGAAGACCUUCCAGAGCUUUGGGUGGGUUCCAGGGGGGUGUUUGAGAGGCCCUGGACGGACCAAACUUUCUUGUCUCAGCCGGUCGGGGUUCGUUGGGGCCUCGGCUGUGGGACCGGAGGGCAGCUUGGUAGUCGUUCUCCUUGGCCUCCUCGGGGUGGUGCUGGGCCCGGCGGGGAUGUGGAAACCGCUCGCUACCCCGGGAAGGGACGCUUUUUCCCACAAGCUGACUUAGAGCCACAUUCCCCGGGGAGCCCUUGAAGCCGGCGUGAGAAUUGACCGAGGGGGUGAGUCCUGGCUUUCGAUCCCAUAAUUGUUGUCAGCGCAAAAAUGACUCACGACUUUCCAUUGUCAGGUUUGGGUUGUAACAGCGUGCUCGAGCCGGGCUCUGGGCUGAGCCCGGGCUCCUGUGAGCGGAGGGAAGAAGCCGAAGCCUCGGGGAAGAAGGCGGGGCGCUCUGCCCGAACCCCCGGCAGCGGGCAGAGCGAGAGGCCUCUGAAGGCGUCCCGCAAACUGGCACUUGGGCCUCCGGGCUUCACUUCCAUUUCAUCCCUGCAGCUGGAGUAGUUCAUCCAACCCGUUUUUCUUUCUUUUCUCUUGCCUGUGGUUGUGGACACUACCUAAAAAUAAAAGACGAUGCUUAUCGCAUCGAAUUAAAGGGAUUGUUUUAAACGAAAGCA